rnacentral:rRNA from 1 species
AUGGCUCAGGAUGAACGCUGGCGGCGUGCUUAACACAUGCAAGUCGAACGAAGCAAUUUCUUACGAUCGUCUUCGGGGUGACGAGUUAUGACUGAGUGGCGGACGGGUGAGUAACGCGUGGGUAACCUGCCUUGUACAGGGGGACAACAGUUGGAAACGACUGCUAAUACCGCAUAAGCGCACAGCAUCGCAUGAUGCAGUGUGAAAAGUUAUUUCGGUACAAGAUGGACCCGCGUCUGAUUAGCUAGUUGGUGAGGUAACGGCCCACCAAGGCGACGAUCAGUAGCCGACCUGAGAGGGUGACCGGCCACAUUGGGACUGAGACACGGCCCAAACUCCUACGGGAGGCAGCAGUGGGGAAUAUUGCACAAUGGGCGCAAGCCUGAUGCAAGCGACGCCGCGUGAGCGAAGAAGUAUUUCGGUAUGUAAAGCUCUAUCAGCAGGGAAGAUAAUGACGGUACCUGACUAAGAAGCACCGGCUAAAUACGUGCCAGCCGCCGC